rnacentral:rRNA from 1 species
AAGCGUGCGCAGGCGGUUAUGUAAGACAGAUGUGAAAUCCCCGGGCCUCAACCUGGGAACUGCAUUAGUGACUGCAUAGCUGGAGUACGGCAGAGGGGGAUGGAAUUCCGCGUGUAGCAGUGAAAUGCGUAGAUAUGCGGAGGAACACCGAUGGCGAAGGCAAUCCCCUGGGCCUGUACUGACGCUCAUGCACGAAAGCGUGGGGAGCAAACAGGAUUAGAUACCCUAGU